UAUUAAAAAUCUCAUCAAUUUGUACUGUUAAAAAAUAGUGUGACUGACGAAAUAAUCAUAUAUUGACAUGUGGCAUAUCACGUGUACCUCAUGCGGACGUACAAAGACCGAUUUUUAACAAUAGAAAUUGAUAGAAUUACUAUCA
rnacentral:pre_miRNA from 1 species